rnacentral:rRNA from 1 species
CGUUGGAUAGGACUCGCUCAGCACCCUAUGAGAAAUCAAAGUCUUUGGGUUCCGGGGGGAGUAUGGUCGCAAGGCUGAAACUUAAAGGAAUUGACGGAAGGGCACCACCAGGCGUGGAGCUUGCGGUUUAAUUUGACUCAACACGGGAAAACUUACCAGGUCCAGACAUAACAAGGAUUAACAGAUUGAAGAUCUUUUUUGAUCUAUUGGGUGGUGGUGCAUGGCCGUUCUUAGUUGGUGGAGUGAUUUGUCUGGUUAAUUCCGUUAACGAACGAGACCUCAGCCUACUAAAUAGUAGUGCUUAUCCAUUUGCGUGGUUUCUCACGAGGUUGCGUAUGUUGGAUAAGGUCCAAAUCUACUUCUUAGAGGGACUAUCCGUGUCUAGCGGAAGGAAGUUUGAGGCAAUAACAGGUCUGUGAUGCCCUUAGAUGUUCUGGGCCACACGCGUGCUACACUGGUGCGUUCAACGAGCUUAUAACCUGGACUGACAAGUCUGGGUAAUCUUGUGAAAGCGCACCGUGAUUGGGAUAGAUGAUUGCAAUUAUUCAUCUUCAACGAGGAAUGCCUAGUAAACGCAAGUCAUCAACUUGCAUUGAUUACGUCCCUGCCCUUUGUACACACCGCCCGUC